GGAAUAUUGGACAAUGGCCGGGAGGCUGAUCCAGCCAUGCCGCGUGCGGGAGGACGGCCCUAUGGGUUGUAAACCGCUUUUGUCAGGGAGCAAUAAGGUCCACGUGUGGACCGAUGAGAGUACCUGGCGAAUAAGCAUCGGCUAACUACGUGCCAGCAGCCGCGGUAAUACGUAGGUGGCAAGCGUUAUCCGGAUUUAUUGGGCGUAAAGCGAGCGCAGGCGGUUUCUUAAGUCUGAUGUGAAAGCCUUCGGCUUAACCGAAGAAGUGCAUCGGAAACUGGGAAACUUGAGUGCAGAAGAGGACAGUGGAACUCCAUGUGUAGCGGUGAAAUGCGUAGAUAUAUGGAAGAACACCAGUGGCGAAGGCGGCUGUCUGGUCUGUAACUGACGCUGAGGCUCGAAAGCAUGGGUAGCGAACA
rnacentral:rRNA from 1 species